GACGAACGCUGGCGGCGUGCUUAACACAUGCAAGUCGAACGGAAAGGCCCUGCUUGCAGGGUACUCGAGUGGCGAACGGGUGAGUGACACGUGGGUGAUCUGCCCUGCACUUCGGGAUAAGCCUGGGAAACUGGGUCUAAUACCGGAUAGGAGCCAUUUUUAGGGUGAUGGUUGGAAAGUUUUUUCGGUGUAGGAUGAGCUCGCGGCCUAUCAGCUUGUUGGUGGGGUAAUGGCCUACCAAGGCGGCGACGGGUAGCCGGCCUGAGAGGGUGGACGGCCACAUUGGGACUGAGAUACGGCCCAGACUCCUACGGGAGGCAGCAGGGGGGAAUAUUGCACAAUGGGCGCAAGCCUGAUGCAGCGACGCCGCGUGGGGGAUGACGGCCUUCGGGUUGUAAACUCCUUUCGCUAGGGACGAAGCUUUUUGUGACGGUACCUAGAUAAGAAGCACCGGCUAACUACGUG
rnacentral:rRNA from 1 species